GAUGAAGAACGCAGCGAAAUGCGAUAAGUAAUGUGAAUUGCAGAAUUCAGUGAAUCAUCGAAUCUUUGAACGCAUCUUGCGCUCCUUGGUAUUCUGAGGAGCAGGCCUGUUUGAGUGUCAUUAAAUUCUCAACUACACUGACUUUGAAUUGGUGUGGCUUGGAUUUGGGGGGAAAAUUGUUGUGGGCUUUUUGUAUAGUCUGCUCCCCUGAAAUUGAUUAGCGGUACCUUUGUGGAACUGUCUACAGGUGUGAUAAUUAUCUACAUCUUAGACAUCUGCUGGAAUGCUGCUUUCUAAACCUUACUUGUAUUGACAAUCUUGACCUCAAAUCAGGUAGGACUACCCGCUGAACUUAAGCAUAUCAAUAAGCGGAGGA
rnacentral:misc_RNA from 1 species